rnacentral:lncRNA from 1 species
UAGCCUCAUCCCUUAAAUUCAAUAGCAGAAGAUCAAUGGAUCAAUAUAAUACUACAUUGCAUUAAAAACGUCACUUAGGUGUGAUUUUAUUUAAGCAAAACCUCCUUAAUCACUUUUUCCAAGUUCAUGUAUGAACAACCACCAGGUCUCGUGUCCUCCUCCGCCUUCUUCUUCAUCUCCAUUAUAUUUUUCCUCAUCUUCUUUCCUUUAUCUCCCACCAUCAAUUCAUUGACCAAAUUCUCCACCUCAUUUCUCUUCACAUUAGUAUCGAUUUCGAUUCCAAUCUCCCAUGUAUUGCAGAUAUAUCUACAGUUUGCUGGCUGAUCAGCAAAAAAUGGCUAACACAACAUUGGAACUCCAGUAGAUAUGCUUUCGGUCGUUGAGUUCCAUCCACAGUGAGUCAAGAAACCACCAAUUGAAGGAUGGUUCAAUACUUUCUCUUGCGAGCACCAACCAGCAAUUAGGCCUCUAUCUGAAAUUUCAUUCACAAACUCCGAUGACAAAACAACUGAGCCACCAAUGACAAGAUCGGGCCUAAUGAUCCACAAAAAGAGUUGCUUGCUAUUUGCUAAACCCCAUGCAAACUCUAACAGUUUUUCUGAAGUCAUAACUGUCCUGCUCCCAAAAUUCACAUAAACAACGGACCUCGGUUCCUUUGAUUCAAGCCAAUCAAGACACUUGUUAUCUUCUUUCCAAAGAUUGGUACUUAAACUUGCCAAGUGAUUCUGUGGACUUUGACUUAAAAGUGAAGAUAAAGGGCCAAUAGCAUAAACAUUAGGGAACGUCGAAGAGAUAACUUUCAUUACAUCCUUCUCAAGUUCAUUAGAAGUAUUAAAAAUAAAAGCAGAGGCUCUGUGAGCCCUUCCUGCUGCUUCAAUGAUAAAUUCUACCAUCGAAUCAUUUGGAUCAGUAAUCUGUAUAAAGGCAGGCAAAUCCCUCAGUCGAAAGUUCUUCAGUCCUGGCAUACAGUCCACUUUAGUGUCCAAAUAUCCGUUUGUCAGAUAACUCUCAUCUGCAUAUCAAAUUUACAAAAGUUGUUAGUGUGAAAUUGAAUCUCCAUACUCCAAAUAUAUGUCAUAUGAACACUUUAACUACUCUACACAUAUGAAGAAAGAAAGAAGAUUAAUUGUUACCUUUUAGUGGUAUGAGACCUUUAUCUAGAAAUGUACGUAAAUGAAUACCAGUCAGAAAUGUACAUGCAUUGGAUGGACUAAAGACAACAUUAGGGAUUGAAAGUUCUUCAGCAGCUUGUAUAGUAAAGGACAUGCUAAUAUCAGAAACUAUGCAACUAACUGGACGGACAAGACCAGAUGUUGCAGAGUCAUUAAGUCUAGCAAGAAGUUCGCGGAAAGGUUGUAGAAAAUUCUUCCUGAUUGAUUUACAAAGAGCGUAAAUGUCUUGACUAACAUCGCCAUCGCCAUCCGUUGGAGAUAAACCAUCUGGAAUACUCUCAAAGUUAAAAUUGGUGAAACCAUCAAAGGCAUUUUGACCUCUUGACUUGAGCAACCGUUUGUGAUUGUAUUCAGUGUUUACAUAGGUUAUGUGAAAACCUCUAAGGUGAAGAAAUUUUGCUAGUUGCAACAAUGGAUUGAUAUGGCCUUGAACUGGAUAUGGGAUUAACACAGCAUGUGGUUUUUUAUCACUCAUUAUUGAGUUUUUGUGUUUGAAUGUUGAGCUAAGGAAACCAAUGUUUUAAUAAAGAUAAAUCCAAUGUUUCUUGGAUUUGUGGAAAAGAAGAUAGAGACAAAAGACAAGGAAAGCAAAAUCAAAUUUAAAGGGUGAGAUCUUUUUCUUAUAAUAUGAAAUAAUUCUAAGUGACACAAUAAUUGAUGCAUACUAGUCAAGUCACCACUUUUUGUUACGUGAGAGAAGGAAAACAAUUUUUCAUUAAAAAGUUUAUAGCACAAACUUAAGAAUGCCUUUAGUAUGCGGUGGUCAGAAUUGAUUUAAAUAAAUUUGUUUGUUAAAAUUAGUUUUUGUUAAAAAGGGCGUUGGAUAUAAAAUUAUUUAUACUUAUAUAUAUUUACGUAAAUUUGAGUUGAGCAAAAAAUUAAAGACUUAAAAUCAAAGACUAAAAAUUGAAGACUUAUCUAACUUAAAUACUAUUAGUUAGACAUCGUUUGGGAUUUAUUUUGGAAUUGAUAGAAUAAUAAAGUUGAGAAACACUGUAUAUUGUGAUCCUAAGAUCACUAAUAUAACCAACCUUGCAUCUAAUCAUAACUAACUUUUUUUUAUAAGCAAUAAUCAUAACUAACUUAUAACUAUCUUAAACAAUACUAAACUAAUUUCAACAAAUAUGAAACUAUAUCUAACACAUACUUGCAUGGAAUUGCAACCAUUCAGUAGAAAGAUAUUAUCAAACAAAAUCUUCAUAUGCUUGUGGACCAACUCUAUACGUUUCAGUUUCAAAAUUGAACUAGAAGACACUUCUAUUCAAGUAUAAGAUAUAUAGUUCUGACAUCAAAGAUUUUUGUUGUACAAAGAAAAUAAUUAUGACCACUUAUUUAUUUUAUAAUAGUCUAUUGGCUAUUAUUUUCCAUGCUUGAAUCAGUCAGACAUUGGACAUCACAAAAAUAUUUGUCCCUUUCAACAAGAGCUCAAGAUUAUCUACAAAGUCUCAAUUCCAUAAAAGCCAAAUUCAUUUUUAUAUGUUGUCCCUUUACACAUGAAUUAUAAUCCUUUAUCACGCUACAACGUAUCAGCUCAAUGGUAAGAGUUUGAGCUUGUAAUCUCAAAGGACAAAGUUUAAAUUCCCUUAAUAACAAUGGUAAAAUGCUCAUUGUUGUAACUUUAAUUAAUAAACACUUAUUUUGACUAAUAGGAAUGUUAAAAUAUGUCUUGAAAUCUCAUGUUGAAAGUUUUUUUACUUUACUAUUGCCCCCAUGCGCUAGGCGCAGUUGUUUGUUGUUUUUAGCAUGUUUCUAUUUUGUAGCUUGCAUGAGGCGAAGGGUAUAGCUGAUUUAGCAGGUGUGCGUCAUGAUCUAUAUUAGUUAGGGGACAUUGAUGAUUCCACACAAUUGGCAUUUGCAAACAUCAAUGAAUGUUUUUGAAUGUUUAAAUAAGAAAGAACCUUUGAAUUCAAAUGCUUUCAAAUCAAUCUAUGCAACCAGAAGCUGACAAUGUAGUGCAGAGAAAUUUUAUAAAAGAUCAAAAGAAGAAUAUAAAUAUAAUAUUAAUAUGAUUUUCAACUAUUGUCUUACUUUGAUUCAGGUGAAUUCAAUCAAUCAAAAUUUGAAGGGGAAAAAUAAAGGUAUGUGAUCUUUAUUUAUGAAGAAUGAACUUGAUGAACAAGAAUGCAUCAUUACAAUGUUUCUGACUAAAUUGUUGAUGUUCAUACUUAAGAACAUAGGAAGACCUAAAAUAUGAAUUAUUUGUUCCUAACAAAACUAUAUAUAUUGUAUAAAAGUGACUUAAGCUUGAUUUUGUUUAAGCAACACCUCCUUAAUCACUUUCUCCAAGUUUGUGUAUGAACAACCUCCAGGUCUCGUGUCCACCUCCACCUUCUUCUUCAGCUCAAUGGCUUUUUGCCUCAUCUUCUUUCCUUUAUCUCCGGACAUCAAUUCAUUGACCAGUUUCUCCACCUCCUCCCUCUUUACAUUAGUAUCGAUUUCCUUUCCAAUCUCCCAUUCAUUGCAAAUAUAUCUGCAGUUUGCUGGCUGAUCCGAAAAAAAUGGCCAACAUAACAUUGGAACUCCAGCACAUAUGCUUUCAGUGGUUGAGUUCCAUCCGCAAUGAGUCAAGAAUCCACCGACUGAAAGGUGGUUCAAUACUUUCUCUUGUGGACACCAACUUGCUAUUAGUCCUCUAUCUGAAAUUUCUUUCAAAAAAUCAGAUGAGAAAACCACCGAGCCACCAAUGACAAGAUCAGGCCUAAUGAUCCACAAAAAGGGUUUUUUGCUGUUGGCCAAACCCCAAGCAAACUCUACGAGCUUCUCUCGAGACAUAACAGUGAUGCUGCCAAAAUUUACAUAAACAACAGAUCUUGGUUCUUUUGAUUCAAUCCAUUCAAGACAUUUAGUAUCUUCUUUCCAAAGAUUAGAGUCUAAAGAUGUCAAGUCAUUUUGUGGACUUUGAUUUACAAAAGAAGCUAAUGGACCAAUUGUGUAUAGAGAAGGGAACAUAGAAUAGAAAGCAUUCAUAACAUCACUCUCAAGUUCAUUAGAAGUAUUGAAUACCAUACCAGAAGCUCUAUGACAUUUAUCUGCCACUUCAGUAUUAAAUCUUAUCGUCAAGUCAUUAGGAUUUUUUGUCUUUAUUAACCUAGGAAGAUCCUUCAAUCUGAAGUUUUUCAAACCUGGGAUCCAGUCAAUUUUUGUGUCCAAAUAUUCAUUUGUUAGAUCACUCUCAUCUGCAUGUCAUAAUUGCAAAAAUCAAUAGCAAGUCAUAUGUAUAAAUAUAUAUAUCAAGGUUUAAAAUCACAUUUGCAAUAAUAAUUUUGGUUGUGUUAUCCUACUGAUAUUGCAUAUAAUCCCAAUCAAAUGUGGUUGAUGCAACCUCAAUUGCGAUUAUAGAGAUAUCGCAACCUUGAUGUUCGGCCCAUAUUGUGACCGCAAACCUUUUUUAAAAACCAUAACAUACACACACAGAUCUCUUAAGAAGAAAAAGGGAACAAAAAUGAUUACCUUUGAAUGGUACUUGACUAUUCAGAUACAUUUUAGGACUGAGCAAACAAGACAAGAAAUAACAUGCACUACAUGGGGAAAAAAGAACAAUUGGGAGGGCAUGUUCUUCAGCAGCAUCUACUGUAAAUGGCAUGUAGCAAUCAGAAACUAAGCAAGUGACUGGGGGGAUAAGACCAGCAGUGGCAGAGUCUUGAAGUUUAGCAAGAAGUUCAUCAAAGAAGUGGCGAAAGUUCGUUAUGAUUGAUUCACCAAGAGAGUGUAGGUCUUGACUUACAUCACCAUUACCAUCCUUUGGAGUUAAACCAUCUGGUAUAGUCUCAAAGUUAAAGUCAGUGAAACCAUCAAAGGCAUUUUCACCUCUUGAUUUGAGCAAACGUUUGUGAUUGUAUUCAGUGUUAACAAAGGUUAUGUGAAAGCCUCUAAGGUGAAGCAGUUUUGCUAUUUUCAACAAUGCAUUGAUAUGGCCUUGAACUGGAAAUGGAGUUAACACUGCAUGUGGCUUUUUCUCUUCAAAGUUACUCAUGAUUGAUAUUUUUCUUAUGUAAGAAAACUAAGAAAAAACUGAGGUGAAAAAUCUAUGAGGCCUCUAUAUAUAACAAUGAGUGAAUUUUGUUACGUAUCUAUUAUCUAUUGUAUAAUAUAAAAAAAUUCUUAAGAAUGGAAAAAACCAUUUUUCUUUUUGAAUAAUUCAAUUACUGUCUAAUUCAUUUUUAUCUAAUUUUUAGUAAAUUGAAAAUCGGAUUUUCUAAUUAAGAUAAUCCAUAUUUGAUAAUUUUUUCUAUACAUCAAACUUUCUUUAUAAACUCUUCCCCUUAAAUAUAUUAAGAGAAGGCCAUAUUUGACAAUAUAUCUUCUAAACCAAUAAAAAUCAAAUUGCAAAUUCUAUGGUACAGCCAAUAUAUUUGAAUGUACCGGUACACUUACUCUUUAAAUUAAUGGUUAAAUGAGUUGUUUUUUGAAGAAAAAUAUUAUUUUCUAUCCUUUAUAUUUAUAAUAACUAAAUCUUAUUCAUCAAAAGUGUUAACGAAAUAAAAUUAAUUUUUUUUGAAUUUUUAGCACUCAUAGUUGAGAAUAUUGAUUAUAUUUUACGAUAAUAUGCAAAAAAAUUACUAUAAUUCUUAUAAAUAAUGAACUGAUGUUUUUUCUUAUGAAAUGAUGUUCUAUAAAAUAUAAAUAUUGAUAAAUAGUUAUUUAUUUCACAAAAAAUAAUCGUUAAUUUAUAAAAUUAUGAAAAAAGAGUACCGGUACACCUCAUUUUGUGAGUCUACAAUAGAAGUUCCCCAAAUCAAAUACAGUCAAAAUAUACUUUAAGUAAAAAAAAUAAAAAUCAAAUAUACUUAAUACAAUAAAAAUCCAAUUUGGACUUGACAAAGAAAAAAAUCCAACAUGUGCAACAAAUUGACGUGGUGAACGAAAGCAACGUCUGCAUGUUGAAAGGAGACCACUUUCUGUGGUGGGGACUGAUUUUAUAUACAGACAAUGGUGUUCAGACGGGAACAGACUUGCCAGUCUAUUCUUUUAAUAGUGUUAAUUAAGGGUGUUUUGGUGCAUUUUUAAUCGAUUUUGAGGUUAAAAGUUAUCCAAAUCGUAAAAUAAAAGAGCAUCAUGUUUGAUUUAAUUGACUUUUAAAAUAAAACUUGAACCAAAUCAAUAUGGGUUGAAUUAUAUUGGUUCGUGUGGUUUUUUCGAGACUAUAAUUUUUUAUUUUUAACAUUAAAAUCGAGUUAAAAACUUAUAACACAACAUAUUUCCAAUAAUGUUUCCGACAAUGUUUUCAAUUUCAUCCAACAUGACAAUUUUAUUUUCACCAAAUAAUAAUAUAGACGAAAUUUAAAAUGUGGACAAAAAGUAAUCCUAUUAAAGAAAUGUAAAAUACUAAGAUUUAUCAUUCUAUAAAAUUUUAUUUUAUAAAAGUUUCCAUUUUUGAAAUAAAAAGUAAAGAAGAAAAUUAACAAGAGAAAAUAAUAUGUCGUUUUAUAAAAGUUUUCAUUGAAUUUCUAUGAGUAUUGGUCUACCUGAAUUAGGUUUAAUUAGCGUUUUUCUUAUGUUGCGGUUUAGUUUGGUUAAUAAAAUAAAAACUGCAAACCGAACCAAACCUUGCGGUUAAGUAAAAAAGUGAUCCGAAUUCAUCCAAACCAAAUGCAUUUUUUGCGGUUUUAGUUUGAGUUGGUUCGGUUUGCAGUUUUUCUACUGGAUUGGUCAGUUUUGAACACCACUAUUUUUUUUGUCUAGUAGCCUAGUGUCUGGAGCUCACACAAUUAAAUUUGAAGAAGUGGGGUAUCUGGGGUUCAAACCCCGACCCUGUAUAAAUUGUGCAAUGUUCUUAUCAAUUGAGCUAAGCUCACGGGGACGUUUCGAACACCUCUAGUGCUAAUGCAUAUAAAUUAUGAAUAUUUAGUAGUUUUUAUGAAAUUUUAAUUUUGAUUAAAAUUAUAGAUAUAGAUAUUUUGUUCUUUAUAUUCUAACAAAUUAUACUUAUUUUUUUUAAAUAACACUAACAAUAUAGCAAAUAUAAUAUAAAUUCUUAUCUUUUUAUUUAUAUUUUUAUUUUUAUAAGCCUUAUUUCAUAAGCCGUUUUCAGCAAAUUUUCAAAAAUGUUUUCAAAAUCAUUUAUGAAAACAUCUUAUAUAUGAAAACAAUUUAACAUAAAUUUAUCUUUUGCUGUAGAAAUAGUUUAUGCAUAAGUGCUCAUCAUAAUUAAUAAGAACUUGCGCUAUAAAUUAUUUAUCCAAACAUGGCCUCUAUUCAUUACUAUUCAACUUAUGAAGCGUGUAAGAAUUAUACUCCCCGAUGUCCAAAAAGGAACUGAAAGGUGAGCAUUUCUUAAUUCAUUGAUUUAGAAUUAUUAAGUUAUGUUUACAAUUUUUCAUGGUUCAUAUUUUUUUUCAGUUUUCAGUAGGACGCCUAUCUUACUUUUUAAUGAUUUAUUCUAUUGAAUUUAUAGAGAAAAGGAGGGAAACUGAAAAGUUAUAAAUCUGUUAUUGAUCAAAUGACUCCCUAAAACUAGUUCUGCAGUAUACCAAUCUUAUAUAUCAUUAAAAGCUUACUAGGGUUUUUUAUACAAGAAAAUGUUAAUGCUUAGUAUAUUAUGUAAGUAACCUGAAUUGGAAUCUUAGACCUCAUGUUAAGCAGUGGUUUAGAGUUUUUUUUUAUAUAAGAAAAUGUUAAUUGUAGUGAGUUAUGUUAGUAACCAGACUUGUUAGUUAUUGAUUUGAAUUCUGUUACAACUCAGACACUUAAGCUACCCCUUGAGGAUAAAAUUAUGCAAGAGUUACUUACAACAAAUAACUGUAGUAACCAUCGAUUUCAGAACUGGAUCCGCUGAUUGAACCAGGAAUCGGCCAGUCUAUACCGGUUGUUCAACCAUGGUCGGUUAUAAGUCUGUCAGAACCUCAUUCAACCAUGGUUUAUUCAACCGAAUCAUUGUUUUUUCGAAUGUUCAUACAUAUUUCGGGAAAUAUUCUUUAAUUCCUGGAUAUGAAAGACAACCAAAAUCUCAUAUUAGUUUUAUUCAUGGUCCUAUGUUAAAACCUGUUCUAUAAAGUAGCUGAUCUUAUGUACGCCUGAUAUAUUUGAAGUUUGAUCCUUCUGUUUGCAUAGGCUGUUCUUUGAUGAUAUUGAAAAUGAAUAGUAUAAUUGCAUAGUAGUACUCAACAUAAGUGAAUGUCUUUUAUUGUUAUAGGAUAGAACCUUUCAAAUCAAUCUCCGAAGCAAGAAGCUUACAAGCAAUGAGAAGUUUAUGAAUAUAAUAUUAAUGUGAUCUUUAGUUACGAAGAAUGAACUUGAUGAAGUUGAAUGCAUUGUUACGAUGUUCCUGACUAAAAUGUUGAUAUCCACACUUAAGAACAUAGGUAGACAUAAAAUGCAAAUUAUUUGGUCCGAACAAAACUAUAAAAAUCGUACAAAAGUCACUUAAGUUCGAUUUUGUUUGAGUAACACCUCCUUAAUCACUUUCUCCAAGUUCAUGUAUGAACAGCCUCCAGGUCUCGUGUCCUCCUCCACCUUCUUCUUCAACUCAAUUGCCUUUUGCCUCAUCUUCUUUGCUUUCUCUCCCACCAUCAAUUCAUUAACCAGCUUCUCCACCUCCUCUCUCUUCACAUUAGUGUCGAUUUCAAUUCCAAUUUUCCAUGUAUUGCAUAAAUAUCUGCAGCUUACUGGGUGAUCAGCGAAAAAUGGCCAACACAACAUUGGAACUCCAGCAGAUAUGCUUUCAGUGAUUGAGUUCCAUCCGCAAUGAGUCAAGAAUCCACCAAUUGAAGGGUGGUUCAGUACUUGCUCUUGCGGACACCAGCUCGUUAUUAGGCCUCUAUCUGAAAUUUCAUUCACAAACUCCGAUGACAAAACAGCUGAGCCGCCGAUGACAAGAUCGGGCCUAAUGAUCCACAAAAAGGGUUGCUUGCUAUUUGCUAAACCCCAUGCAAACUCUAACAGUUUUUCUGCAGUCAUAACUGUCAAGCUCCCAAAAUUCACAUAAACAACAGACCUAGGUUCCUUGGAUUCAAGCCAAUAAAGACACUUGGUAUCUUCUUUCCAAAAAUUGGUGCUUAAAGAUGUCAAAUGGUUUUCUGGACUUUGAUUUAAAAACGAAGAUAAAGGGCCAAUAGCAUGAAUACAAGGGAACACAGUGGAGAGAGCAUUCAUUACAUCCUUCUCAAGUUCAUUAGAAGUGUUUAAAAUAUAAGCAGAGGGUCGGUGAGCCCUUCCAGACGCUUCAAGGAUAAAUUCUACCAUGGAAUCAUUUGGAUAUUUUGCUCUUACAAAGUCCGGAAGAUCCUUGAUUCGGAAGUUUUUCAUGUUGGAAAUUUAGGUCUUAAUAUAAACAGAUUUCAUAAUACAUGUUCAACAACUAUGAAUCAAUAGCGGAAGCAAACAAAACAUUGAACAUGAUUAUGAUCGGAUCUACGACAUGUUUGAUUUACCAAGGAUAUUAAGAAUUAGGGUAUUAGGAAUACCUGGAUAAAGCUUUUGUAACAACCCUCUCAUCAACAACGAUAACCAAAGAGAGGAGAUGAUCUGAAACACGCAAUAGAGUUAGCGGCGGCUGAUUUGGUUCUUCCUCAACCGGUACCUUUAUGCCUCAAGUUCUCUUCAGAUGGGGAGAAGAGAGAGUAUUGCCGUGUACGGUGUAUUGGGGACCAUAGCCUCUUUUAUAUUGGAUGGCCAUUAGGGUUUCCCAUUAUUCCAUUAAUGGGUCAUCCGGACAUCCACUCAUGUUGAGUCCAUAUCAACUAAUUAAAUAAUUAAUUAUCCAAAAUAGAAAUCUAAUUAGCCUUAUUACUUAAUUUGAUCACUAAUCAAUUAAGGCUCACAAUUGAUAAAUAGCUAAUAUAAUUAUUAUUACGAUAUUUGCCCACAUAAUGAUAUUGGAAUAUUAUUAAUUAAUAAAAUAUUCCAACAUUUCAGUCCUGGAAUACAAUCUACUUUAGUGUCCAAAUAUCCGUUUGUGAGAUAACUGUCAUCUGUACAUCAAAUUACAAAAUCUGUUAACUUGAAAUGUCAUAUUAAUACUUUAACUACACUACAUCUAUGAAGAAAGAAAGAAGAUUAAUUGAUUGUUACCUUUUAGUGGUAUGACACCUUUGUCAAACAGUGUAGGUAAGUGAAAACAAGUCAAAAACAUACAUGCACUGGCUGGACUAAAGAAAACAACAGGGAUUGAAAGUUCUUCAGCAGCUUGUAUUGUAAAAUACAUGCUAUUAUCAGAAACUAUGCAAGUAACUGGAGGGACAAGACCAGAAGUGGCAGAGUCAUUAAGUCUAGCAAGAAGUUCACAAAAAGGUUGUAGGAAGUUCUUUCUGAUUGAUUCACAUAGAGCAUAUAUGUCUUGAUUAACAUCACUAUCGCCUUCUAUCGGAGUUAAACCAUCUGGAAUAGUCUCAAAGGUAAAAUCGGUGAAACCAUCAAACGCUUUUGGACCUCUUGAUUUGAGCAAGCGUUUGUGAUUGUAUUCGGUGUUGACAAAGGUUAUGUGAAAGCCUCUAAGGUGAAGAAGCUUUGCUAGUGUUAUUAAUGGAGUGAUAUGUCCUUGAAGUGGAUAUGGAAUCAACACUGCAUGUGGCUUUUUAUCAGAAAAAUGACUCAUUUCUGAGUUUUCUUGUAUUAUAGUAUGUGUAUGACUUGAGGUUUAGAGAUAAAGGGAUUAGCCAGUGCCAACAAUACACCUACCUAACAACUCUAAUCAUAAUGCCAAAAAACAUGUCAUGUGACAGCGUUUAAAUUAGUCUGUAGCUGAAUAAAAAUUUGGUGAUGAAUAAUGGCAAUCAUUAGGCUGUGACCAAUAAUGUUGGAGGACUUAAUGAUAAGUAAUCUAAGUCAAAUAAUUGCAUGGUUUUGUAACCAAUAUAUGUGAACAAUAAAAGAUAUUUAAACUGUCUCAUUAUUGUAAGGGAAAUAUAUUACAGACUCUAAUUUGAACUACACAAUAUUCUAUCCGUCGCAUAAAAAGUGUUUUAUUUAGAAUGUGUACGAUUCUUAUGAAAAUAAUUAGCUGUGUUGAUUUUAAUGGUAAAAUUAAUAUCAUUUACUAAAAUAUUCAUAUUAAUUUAUAUCAUUUACUACUAAGACUUUGUUUGCGAGUUGGAUUUUGGAGGGGAGGGGAAGGGAAGGAAAGGCUCAUGGCUCAUGGAGUGGUAAAUCCUUGUUUGCGAGUUUUAAAAAAACAAGGGAAAGGUUUUGGGGGGUUUUGAAGGGCUUUAUUUGUCCAAUUUUAAAGUUCCCCCAAAUUGGGGGGUUUUGGGGGGUUAAACAUACAAAUUGACAAUUUUGCCCUCUUAAUAAUUCAAAAUUCUAAUUUUAGACAUUACUAAAAUUAUUACAAUCUUUUUUAAAAACAACUUAUUCAAAACAACUUAUUUAUACAAAACAGCUUAUUACGACCUCAUUUUCAAAAACGGCUUAUUCAAAACAGCUUAUUACGACCUCAUUUUCAAAGACCACUUAUUCAAAACAACUUAUUUAUAAAAAACAGCUUAUUACGACCUCAUUUUCAAAAACCGCUUAUUCAAAACAACUUAUUUAUGCAAAACAGCUUAUUACGACCUCAUUUUCAAAAACAUCUUAUUUAUGCAAAACAGCUUAAUACGACCUCUUUUUCAAAAACAGCUUACUCAAAACAGCUUAUUUAUGCAAAACAGCAUUAUACGAUCUCUUUUUCAAAAACAGCUUAUUACGACCUCAUUUUCAAAAAUCGCUUAUUCAAAACAACUUAUUUAUACAAAACAGCUUAAUAUGACUUCAUUUUAAAAAACAGCUUAUUCAAAACACCUUAUUUAUGCAAAACAGCUUAAUACGAUCUCUUUUUCAAAAAAAAGCUUACUCAAAGCAGCUUAUUUAUACAAAACAGCUUAAUACAAUCUAUUUUUCAAAAACAACUUUUUCAAAACAGCUUAUUUAUCCAAAACAGCUUAUUAUCACCUCUUUUCAAAAAAACAGUUUAUUUGUGCAAAACACCUUAUUUCGACCUCUUUUCAAAAAAUAGCUUAUUCAAAACAACUUAUUUUUACAAAACAGUUUGGAUAAAUAAGUUGUUUUGAAUAAGUUUUUUUUAAAAAAGAGAUCGUAUUAUGCUAUUUUGCAUAAAUAAGUUGUUUUGAAUAAGCUGUUUUUGAAAAAGAGAUCGUAUUAAGUUGUUUGGUAUAAAUAAGCUGUUUUGAAAUAGCUGUUUUUAUAAAAGAGAUUGUAUUAAGCUGUUUCGCAUAAUAAGUUGUUUUGAAUAAGCUGUUUCUGAAAAUGAGGUCAUAUUAAGCUGUUUUGUAUAAAUAAGUUGUUUUGAAUAAGUGAUUUUUGAAAAUGAGGUCAUAAUAAGCUGUUUUAUAUAAAUAAGUUGUUUUGAAUAAGCUGUUUUUGUAAAAGAGAUUGUAUUAAGCUGCUUUGUAUAAUAAGUUGUUUUGAAUAAGCUAUUUUUGAAAAUGAGGUCAUAUUAUGUUGUUUUGUAUAAAUAAGUUGUUUUGAAUAAGCGAUUUUUGAAAAUGAGGUCAUAAUAAGUUGUUUUGUAUAAAUAAGUUGUUUAAAUGAGGUCGUAAUAAGUUGUUUUGUAUAAAUAAGUUGUUUUGAAUAAGCGGUUUUUGAAAAUGAGGUCGUAAUAAGCUGUUUUGUAUAAAUAAGCUAUUUUGAAUAAGCUAUUUUUGAAAAAGAGAUUGUAUUAAGCUGUUUUGCAUAAAUAAGCUGUUUUGAAUAAGUUGUUUUUGAAAAAGAGAUUGUAAUAAGUUGUUUUGUAUAAAUAAGCUGUUUUGAACAAGUUGUUUUUUUGAAAAGAGGUCGUAAUAAGCUGUUUUGUAUACAUAAAUUGUUUUGGAUAAGUUGUUUUUGAAAAGAGAUUGUAUUAAGCUGUUUUGAAUAAGCUGUUUUUCUGAAAAGAGGCCAUAAUAAGUUGUUUUGUAUAAAUAAGCUAUUUUGAAUAAGUUGUUUUUUAAAAAAAGAUCGUAAUAAUUUGUUUUUCAUAAGAUAAGCUAUUUUUUAAAAAGAGGUCGUAAUAAGUUGUUUUGUAUAAGUAAGUUGUUUUUAAAAAGUGAUUGUAAUAAGUUUUUUUUUUUUUUUAUAAAUAAGUUGUUUUUUAAAAAUAGAUUUUAAUAAUUUGUUUUUCAUGCGAUAAGUUGCUUUGAAUAAAUUUGAAGUUAAAUUACGAAGUAUAACAAUGUAUUGAUUUUAAGAGGAAAAAUGGUAAAAUAGUAAAAUUAUACUAUAAGCCCUCCAUCUCCUUUUCUUUAUUGACUUUUUAACUCCCAAACAAGAGGAAGGUUUUCCCUCCUUUCUCCCUUCCCUCCCUUUCCUUCCCUUCCUCUCCUUAGCCUUUCCUUUCCUUCCCCUCAAAACUCGCAAACAAAGCCUAAAAUGUAUUUUGAGAGUUCGCUUCGUAAAAUAUUUUUUGUUUAAUAGUGAGUUGAACAAAAAUUAAUUUAUGUUUAGAUAUAUUUAUUAGCGCAUCUUGCAACGUUUCUCUUUUGUUGUAAUCUAAUUAUGAGUGAUAAGAUAAUUAACUCGAUGAGAGUUAAGAGAAGAAAAUAUAUGUUGCAAUCUGAUCUCAUUAUUAAUGGAAAAAAAUUUACUACAACUUAUUUAUAUGGAAAUUACUUGCUAGUCAAGCAAAACAUACUCAACUUACCUAGCUGUAUUUUGUAGUUCAGAUAUUGAUGAAAAAGCUAAACUAUGGAAAUUACAACAACUUAAAAUUUACUACAACUUAUUUAUAUGGAAAUUACUUGUGAAUUUACAUAAAAUUAAGACUAAAAAUUAAUUAUUCUAUUGCAUCUAGAUAGAAAAUAGAGAGAGAAAAAAAAUUAAAAUUUUAGUUCUGUUAUUGAUCAAAAAGCUAAACUAUAACUAUAUUAACUAUAACAUCUAGAUAAGAGAAAUAGGAUGCUCAUAUACAUAUUCUCACCAAUAUUCUUCACUAGUAGAAUAUGUAAAGAGAACAAAAAUAUCAUAUUAGUUUCAGUCAUGUUCCAGUCACACCAACAUGGACACUAGACAUGACACGACUCGACACUGACAAUGAAAUUUUGAUGCCUGCAAUAAUUUGAGAAAAUAGAAUAAAUGUAUUUAAAUGUGUUGGAGUCGUUUAGGUGUCAAAUAUCAACAUGUUUCGGACACUAAACACUCAUCGAAGUGUCAAUGUUGCACCCUUUAAAACCUUACACCUAAGUAAGCUUACCAUUUCUAUUUUUUUAUAUUAAAACUGAUUCCAAUGUUAAAGUAAAACAUUAACUUAUGGCUUGUAUUUAAUUUAGUUAUUCCUAACAAAACUAUAAAUCUUGUUUAACAUAGAAGGAUAUUAAUUUAAACCUGAACACACAGCAAAGUGAUUGUUUGCUUUAAUUUAUCCUUCAUAUGAUAAUGGAAUUCAAGAUACUGUGGAAAAAGCCUCACUACCCCAACUUCAAAAUUUCAAAGCUGUAAAAUUCAACGAAUAAAAAUUUAAAUACAUAUGCCAUAGAAUUAUCCAAUUCAAUCCAUUAGUUUAAGAAUUCUUGCACAAGAUAUGUUCAAUUCCAUCAUCAUGAACUCUUAAUUUAUUAGCAUCAAUAUAUUUGUUAUACAAUACAAUAGCAUCAUCCCUUAAAUUCAGUAGGAGAAUAUCAAUGGAUCAAUAUAAUACUACAUUGCAUAAAAAAUUCACUUAUAGGUUUGAUUUUAUUUAAGCAAAACCUCCUUAAUCACUUUUUCCAAGUUUAUGUAUGAACAACCUCCAGGUCUCGUGUCCUCCUCCGCCUUCUUCUUCAACUCGAUUGCCUUUUGCCUCAUCUUCUUUCCAUUCUCUCCCACCAUCAAUUCAUUGACCAACUUCUCCACCUCCUCUCUCUUCACAUUGGUGUCAACUUCCAUCCCAAUCUCCCAU